GACGAACGCUGGCGGCGUGCUUAACACAUGCAAGUCGAACGGAAAGGCCCUGCUUUUGUGGGGUGCUCGAGUGGCGAACGGGUGAGUAACACGUGAGUAACCUGCCCUUGACUUUGGGAUAACUUCAGGAAACUGGGGCUAAUACCGGAUAGGAGCUCCUGCUGCAUGGUGGGGGUUGGAAAGUUUCGGCGGUUGGGGAUUGACUCGCGGCUUAUCAGCUUGUUGGUGGGGUAGUGGCUUACCAAGGCUUUGACGGGUAGACGGCCUGAGAGGGUGACCGGCCACAUUGGGACUGAGGUGCGGCCCAGACUCCUACGGGAGGCAGCAGUGGGGAAUAUUGCACAAUGGGCGGAAGCCUGAUGCAGCAACGCCGCGUGCGGGAUGACGGCCUUCGGGUUGUAAACCGCUUUCGCCUGUGACGAAGCGUGAGUGACGGUAAUGGGUAAAGAAGCACCGGCUAACUACGUG
rnacentral:rRNA from 1 species